CUUUUUUGAUCUUCAUUGGUUUAAAGUCUGUCUUAUCAGAGACUAGGAUUGCAACCCCUGCUUUUUUUUUUGCUUUGCAUUUUCUUGAUAAAUAACCAAAGGGUAGGUGGUUGAUAGAGUGAGCCAGGCCUCGAGCAGUACUGUUGGGAGGUUGUGGGGAACACACAGACACGGGCACCCGUGAGAGCUAGAAGCACGCCACACCACGGCGGGUCAUGGUUCCCGCCCUGCAGAAGCCGUGAGGCCAGCAUGUGUUGGUCUGUACUGCCCGGCCUGUGGUGAGUUGUCACACAACUACUGCAAGUCCAGGCAGCAGAACGUGAACAGAGCCUCAUGGGCACAGCUUUUCGGCAAUUACUGGCGCAUCCCAUUUUAUUGCACUUCAUUGUGCGUUUUAUAAAUUAUAGGCGUGUGGCAGCCCCACUAGAGCAACCCUGUCAGUGCCACUCUUCCAGCAGCACGGCCACUCCAUGUCUCCUCGUGGUAGUUCUCGCAAUGCCUCAAACUGUUACUGUAUGUGUUACGGUGACCUGUGGUGUCACUACCACCUUGGGGCGCUCAUGUGAACCCCAAGGCACUUGGUGAAAACCCUUCCCAGGGAGUGGGCUUAGCGUGGAAAGGAGGUUCCUCCUUGUCCUGCACACGCCAUGUCCUUGGAGGGCCCGGAGCCCCCACGGUCACCUGUCUUGCGUGUUAUUCCAGGGGCAGCUGGCAGUGUGGCCUCACAGCACAUGCUCGUUCCAUGUCGUGCUCUUUUCACGUAAUGUAGAUUGGAGGUUAUUCCGUGUGAAGCCACUGGAGCCCCUGGGCUCCACUGCCGCUGUGACCUUUCUAUUCAGGGAUAUUUCCGGCUUAUUUGAGCCGUAUUAGCAAAGCGACGGGAAACCAGCCCCACGUACCCAUCCCUGGAGCCAGCGUGUCCACCUUGUGUCCUCCACGCCUCCAAAUCCCCACGCUGGGGUGUGACACUCAUUCUAGCCUAAUUUCAUCCAUUAUUGUUUCCCUGAUGUAUCUCAAAGAGAUAAAAACGUUCAAAAGACCAUAAAACCACCACAGAAUUCCAAAUAUCCAAUGUUCAGAUCUUCCUCACUGCCUUGUAAACUGCUUCAUGUUUUAAGUUUGCUUGCUGGAAUCCGGCAGUGUCCGUGGGACCUCUACGACACCUUUCUCUCUGUCUCCCCAACACCAGCGCUCUCUUCUCAGUUCAGCUAAAGCAGGGGCUUGUGCAUCCUGCACUCGCCGACCGGGGCCCUGUGGUUUUGCGUGUUCUGCUCCGUCCUGUUGAGACGUGGUCACACCAAGGCCACAUCAGGCUCCCCUGCGAUUCCGUUUGGCAGGAGCACCUCGGGGGUCUCGGCACCUCUGUGGCGCUGCUGUUGUGCCUUCCUCCACUGUUAGCUGGAAUAGUAAAGAGAAACCCAAGGUUCACGUUCCUCACUAAAACACCCGCUCUUCAAUUAUAUGGAUGUUUCAUGCAUUUGUGAUACAGUUACUUACUGAUGUACAUUUUGGCCAUUUUUAAUCAUUCACUGUUUAAAAUGCCGCUGCAGUGAGUAUUUGUAUAUAUACAUAAUUUCGCUCAAGUGGCUCUAUGUGGAAUAAAUUCUAAAAAUUUCUGGGUCAAAGAGCACACACAUUCAGCCCCAAUCUUGCUGUUCACCACCUGCAGGGGCUGUGCCAACCCACCCCCACCAGCGACGGAGCACCUGCCUCGUGCCCUUACAGGGAGGGAAAGCAUCUUCUCACGUAUUUAUGAACUGCUUUAUUUCCCUUUUAGUAAAUUAUUCUUUUCAUUAGCCCAUUUUUCUAUUGGUCAGUAUUUUCAUAAGGAAAACUCUCUGACGUGCUGUGAAUUUUUCUGCCAUUUGACAUUUUUAUAUUUAUGCCAUUGUGAUAUAAUCAAAUUAAAUGACUUUCAUUUAUGGAGUUUGAUUCAUUCUGAGGCAAUCACUCCUGGUUGUGAAGUUCAAAAAACCACAUUGUCCAAUUUUGCUUCUGGGAUUUCUACUUUUUAAUUACAUCUUUGAUACAACUGGAAUUUCUUUUGGUAAAUAGAUUACAAAUGCAAAUUUUUCUUUCCAUUUGGAUACCUAAUUGUCCCAACAUCAUUUAUAUCCUGCUUUUCCAGGAAUGAAAUGCCAUCUUUCUAUGUUGGUUGUGAACAUGCUUUUGGCACCUGGCAGGGCCAACCCUCAUGGCGUGUGUGUGAACACAUCCCUCAUGGCGUGUGUGUGAACACAUCCCUAAACCGUUGUCUAAUUUACCCUAUUUUUGUAGUUCACGUGAGCAGAAUCCAGUAUCUGUGUUCUUGCAUCUGGUUUUCACUCCACGUGUUUGGGGCGUGUGCAUAUCCGCUGUGUGUGGUGUGGACUUUAUCCAUGUCCCAUGUGCAAACGCCACCCCACCCAGAGGCCACGCCAGGACCCAGGCCUGUGGGCAGUGGUUCCCAGUUUGCUCUUGCAAGGACGCUGUGUCCUCCUGCGUGAGAGUCCCUGCUUCAGGUCUAAUCCUGGGAGUGGAAGGCAGGUCGUGGGUGCGGCUGCAUCCUCAGCUUCUCUGGAUGAUACUCGCCAAGAGGCUGGCCCGGGAACACACCGGGAGCCAGAGGGCCCAGCCGCACAGCUCCCUCGCACUGGGCUGGGCACUUGGUCACCAGCAGUUUGGGGAGCGUGUUCUCAUGGUGGUUUCAGGUGUGAGUCUGAGCAUCAACCCCGUGUCCACUGGAUGCUGGAGUUCUUUCCUCUCUGGCGGUGUUUCUCAUCAGGGUUCCCCACCGGCCUACUGCACGCUGCGUCUCUCCUGACCUGUAGGAGUCCUCUGUGCCUCUGGCUGCUCACCUUUGUUGGUUUAAUGUUUUGCAAAUGUCUUUCUCCGUUUUGUGGUUUGCUUUUUCAUUCUUCUAAUGGAACAUGUUGCUUUACAGAAGCAUCUAGUUUUAACAGUCUUGUUUAAGAUGGUGUCAACACGCACUGGGCUGGCCUGGUCCCUGAACUCAGGUGUGUUUCCUUUGCAAACUCUAGAGGAGAGAGACAAGGGAGGAAGGACAGAUAGCAGCAGAGCGUGUGGAAAUGUUUUCCAGGCAGGAUGGCUUUCAUUCAAGUGACAGCAUCAUUUGAGUGACAACAGUGGUAGGUGGUGUAAUGGAUUCUGACGUGGUGGGGGUAGGGGGCACGGCCAGGCUCCGAUUCCUCCUGCUGGGCCCAAGGACCGAGGACUGUGACGGGAGUGCACGGUCCCUCCCGUGUCCUGCCAGAGGCCAGGGACUUGGGUCCACCACUGUGCCGGGAUAUGUCCUCAAGAGCUUCUUCAGGAGGUGCUGGGGUGCAGGGCAUGUCUGAAAGGCAUUUCUGGACACUUGCUGUGGCCUCAUACAGGAGAGUAGACGACCUGUCCAGUCGGUACACAGGACAAGAUAAAGCAUCCAGGGACCCGGGGUCACGGCCCUCACUCCACUGCAGGGGUGGGGAUGAGAGAGGCCAGAGGGGAUCAGACAGGGCCAGCUGUUGAUGGUUCUGAGAUGCAGUUUCUGUCUGAGGGGCCUCCUCCCACUCCUGGCCUCUGCAGAGGGGUGGGUGUGUGGAGGGAAGGUGGGUCUGCCCUGGUCGAACAGCAGAGGCAUUGCCUGUUAGUCUCAUUCCAUUCCGAGUGCCCCCAGGGAGAGUCAGCCACCUUCUGCAGAGAAGCAAGGCCAGAAGGCAGGGGCCUCCCCUCUGGUGACCACCAGGGCCUGUGGUACAAGCAGUGCCGGCUGCUGUCCUCUCUGGCCCUUGUCUCCUUUCAGCCUCUCCGCUAUUAGCAGAGGGGCAGAAUUUCAUAGUAGACCACUUGACAGGUAGACACAGGCCACCCCCACACAACCCCUGACUCUGGAGGAGGCUCCCCAGUGGCCUCCUGGAGCCAGGAGAGAUGGGACUGAGCUGUAUCUGCUGCUCC